UACGUAGGGGGCAAGCGUUGUCCGGAAUCAUUGGGCGUAAAGAGCGUGUAGGCGGUCCGUUAAGUCGGCUGUGAAAGUCCAAGGCUCAACCUUGGGAUGCCGGUCGAUACUGCCGGACUAGAGUUCGGAAGAGGCGAGUGGAAUUCCCGGUGUAGCGGUGAAAUGCGCAGAUAUCGGGAGGAACACCUAUGGCGAAGGCGGGUCUCUGGGCCGAUACUGACGCUGAGGAGCGAAAGCGUGGGGAGCGAACAGG
rnacentral:rRNA from 1 species